ACUCGGGUGGGUUUCAGAGUAACCGGCAGCGCCCGCGCCCUGCCCCCCCCCCCCCGGGCCCCCCAGGAUCUGACGGGAGGGGGAGGGGGGCCCUCUCCCACACGGGGGCCACUCCUAGCCCCCGAAACUCGCUCCCCACGCGCUUGUGCCCAAGGAAGCAGGCAGAGGAAGCCCAGAAAGGGGCGCUUCCUGGAGUGAGUGGGGGCGCCCUGCCCCCUCCUGGGCCCCCCCCCGGCCCCCCAGGAUCUGACGGGAGGGGGAGGGGCUCUUGGAGAGGAGGGCACGGACCCCUGGGCCCUCUCCCACACGGGGGCCACUCCUAGCCCCCGAAACUCGCUCAUUGCCACGAUUGAAACUGUCUUUUGACUCUUCAUUUUUGACAUCCUCAAACUGCCUGGACAUCUCUUCUGUAACCCAAAGUCUUCGUUUCCCUGAAAAAACACCAGUGGACACAAAGGGAGGGCGAUUGAGCUGAUUGUCGCAGUUGGGGUUCAGAAUUGUUCUCUAAAGGGGCUCCCCAGAGGGGCUGCUCCCCGAGCUGCUUCGGGGUUGUAGGGGAGCCGGAAGUUGUGCUAAGUUGUGCUCCUCCAGGUGCAGAAGCUGAGGGAGUGGAAGAAAGGAGCUUUCUGCUCCCCUCCCCAGGAGGAGGGGCAGCCUCAGGCUUACAGCGUUCACGUUCCCAGCCAGCAAGCAGCCCAGAGACAGCCUGGGCAGUGAGAGGCAGUGACAGUGACAAGCUGCCUCCCUCCAGAACACAUGCAUACACAUGAGUGCGUCACAGAACUGUGGCCUCAAACUCAAGACACCCAUUGGGAGAAACAAUACACACACACAUCAAAUGUGCAGAAGCUUUGGGGACUCUGAAGAGAAGGAAACGGGCAAACCUGAACAUGUACAGGGGCCUGGAAGGAGUUGUCCAGGAGGAACUCGAGCCUGGGCCAUAGAAUACUGGCCUUGGCAACAGGAAGCAGGAACCAAAGACCAGGAGCCUGCUAAUUUCCAAAAAAAAAAAAAACGAAGACAGUUUCCACGUAAAAGCCCUUGACUUUUGUUUCUCAAACCCCAAUCCCAGCUCGGUGAUGUUGCCAUUAUUUUUUUAUUUUAGCUCCCAUCAGGAUGAUGAGCAAGAAGACCGUUCUAGAAGGAUCUAGGGCCCUGCCAUUUUUUAUCCCCAUUUAACUUUCACAAUUUGCAAAUGGACACAUAAAUCUGAGGACUUUGGUAGUUUUUCCCAUUGCCCAGCCUGCCCUGAGUACUUGGACUUCAUCUGUAUACCACUAAUAGAGCAACUCAACAAAAGGAAGCACCCGGAGGUAUUUCUUUAUUGCUUUAAUGCACCACUGAUACCUAUCUUAUCCCCUCAUUCUUUUUUAAAAUUAGACUUCCCUCUCCUCACUGUCUCCCCCCCCAAACAAAACGUGUGAAACGAAUUCAUGUAUUGGUCCUGUCCCCAAAUACGGCACUUAGCCCAUCGGGACUCUGAUUCCCACCUCUCCAGAGGUGGACUGUGCAUUUCACCCUGGACCUUUGGUCAUUGUUGGAGGAUACUGGGUUCUUAAAACCUUUGAGGUCACUUGUUUUCACACUGUUACUGUGGUGGUGCUGUGUUAUUCUCUUGGUUCUGACCACUUCCCUCUGCAUCAGUUCCGAGAGGUCUUCCAAAAUUUCUCUGAAAAUCAUCUCCCACAUCAUUUUUUAGAGCACAACGAUAUUCAAAUGAUCACGUUGCUAAAUUACAAUUUGUUCAGCUGUUCUCCACUGGAUGGCCAGCCCUUCGGUUUCCAAUUUUUUAAUAACAAAAAAUCCCUGCUAGUUUUAUUUUUAAAAUCUGUGACUCUAUGUCAAAUAAGCCAUCCUUACUCCAGUAGCGCUGGGAAAACUCAAGAUAUUUUAAUUGUUACAAUGAAAAUAGCAAUUGAUUAUCAUUGUGACUGUACAACAUUCAUUCUUUUCCCUGAAAAGUAUUAAAUGAUGGCAAAACAAAAUAUUUGACUACUUAUGUUACCUGAUUCCAACCUACCUGUAAUAACAGUGCCAGGAGAAUUCUUUUUUAAGCACUGAUCUCAAUCCAGUUUCAGAGUCUUUAAAAGACCCCAAUAUUCAUAACAGCACUCUUUGUGAUAACAAAGAAUUGGAAAUAAAGUAGGUACCCAUCAAUUGCAGAAUGGCUGAAGAGACUCUGGGAUAGGAAUGUAACAGAAUAUUCUCGUGUAGUAUUAAAUGGUGCAUGUGAGGAAUUUAAAAGAAAUAUGGGAAGAUUUUUAAGCUGAGCCAAGAGAACAAUAUACAUCGUGACUGACAACCACGUCAAUGGAAAGAUCUUGAAAAGGAAGUGAACUCUGAGCAAUGGAAAACCCAGGGAAGGGCCAGGAGAAGAGAGAAUUAAAUACGCCUCCUCCAUCGUGGUGGAGAGGUGGGCGACUUAGGACAGAAUGUUGUAUUUGUCAGACAAAGGGCUCCGCUGCCUCUAGCUGCUUAAUUGUUUUUCUUUGUCAGGAGGGACAGUUUAAUCUUAUGGGGAAUGAGCCACAUAAAAACAAAAGGCAUCUAUAAAAUAUAUUUUUAAAAAAUCCAAAGACUCUUCUGGGCUUCCUGCUCGGCGUUUCCUUUUUCAGAAUAUAACGCAGAUGUUUAAGUAAAACAAACUGUGUGGGCUUCUGGAAAUGCCCACCCUGAACAAUACGCUGUUCUUGGAUCGGAGACUGAUGUCUCCUGUAAUAACCCCGCAAAAUCCUGAUCGUUUGGCCUGUUUGCUUUUCCCGUUUUUCCUUGAACAUAUUCGAGUUUCUUCAACAUCUUCCGUUCACAUUUUCUGUCUUUGGAAGCUGCUGCUUUUCAGGCUCCUUCAAGAGUCUCUCUCCCUCAUUGAGCGAACAUUCUGAAUCCGGGAUUCAUUCUAGACUGUUGGAAGGACCUCAGUCUCACCAAAGAAACCCUGUUUAUCCCUUUUAUCCUCAUCAAUUACUUUGUAAAUAAAAAACUGCGAAAAAUGAUACUUGCCCAAUCUUCCCCUAGAAUCCCAAGGACCUUAUUACACAGUAAUGGGUGCUUUGUGAGCACAGUCUCCAGGAUGGAGAGGAAGGUUGUCCGAAUGCACAGAUAGGUCGAGGCCGGCCGAGCCGUUUGGCACCAGAGUGAUGUUCCAAACUCGGCAUUUGCAUGCCCAAGGCUUGUUUGAGAAGGCGAUUAUGGUCUUACAAGCAAAUCAUAAGAAUUUUUAAAAUUUUCUAAAUGCCGUAUUUAUAUGACAGACGAUAACUGCUCUGAAAGAAUCAUUAUGGUUUGGGAAAUGAUAUGCAAUUUCAAAAUCAUCUGAAAUCAUUUCAAUUGCCUGUAUUUACAUUUCUAUAAUGGAUAUUUAUAAUGGUGAUUAUUUUAGCGCUUACCUUGUUUUCAAGGAUAUAACACUGGUUUCUAUGGGAACAGGAACGGCAGUGAGGAGCAGAAUUUUAAGAACCCUUUGAAUUGCAGCGGCUGCAAACUGAGCUGCAGAGGCUGUUUGUUCUCCUUCCGUGUUUCUCUUAAUCUUUUAAAACAAAAGUGUGGAAUUAAAUCAUCGUAAAUCGUUUAAAAAUACAAAUGAAAUUAUUUUUAUAAAACAAUAUCUGACACACUUAAAUCAUCUGUGAACCGCUUGCUGCCCUGGAGCUAAUAAUCUGCUGACCUCGAUGAAUUCAUUGUAGAUUAUCAAUACUGGAAAUUCUCCAGCAUUUGGGAAAUUGUACCCAGAAAAACUUCAUAAAUUAAAUUCCCCAGUUCCCCUUUUUCCUGCUUUUAGGUGAUUAAAAAAGAAAGAAAGGAAGGAAGAAAAAAAAAAAGAAUCUGCAGCUCCACCAGUAAUUACUGAGAAGCCCUGUUAUUUUUUCCUCUAUUUAAUAUUUUCUUUAUACAGAAUUUUCCUAUUUAGAAAUCACUCUCUCCCGAUUUUUUUUUUUUUUAUCCUGGUGCUUUGUUGCAUUCUAACGGUAAGACCUAUAAUCCCAUGCAUGCUCUUAGACCCACUGGGCCUCUUUCUUUUACUGUGUUGUUAAUUUUUUUUUCUUAAAAUAGAUUUUAGACUAUAAAAAUCCCAACAUGAAUCUUUGCAUUAUUUAUUCUAUUUAAUAAUUUUCUCAUGCUAUGUUUUCCCAUAUUAUUGAAAAGCUCUUUUCUGGGGGAAAAUAUGAUGCGAUUGCUCUGUAUUUUUAUUUUCCUUUCUAAAAGCUGUAAAAUUUCCCAGAAGUUAGCCCCCGAAUUUUUUUGAAAAGAGCAAAUGAAAGCCUAAAUAACUGGGCUUCUCUCAGAACAUGAGUAACUGUAAAGCAAUGAGGUUGAGAGGACCAGCAUACUAGAGCUACCUUAUAUAAUACCUGCUAGGGCUAUUGCUUACUUAUAAUCUGUCCUAAAUCCAAAGAUUAGGGGUUGGUGGCUGAGUGCCAAACAAGAGGGAACAAGGGCUCAGAUUUUUUUCCUUUGUCCGGACCACGGAUACCUGGCCCCUGUCUGCAUCGACGCCCCCUUUGCCGAGGCAUUGACAGAAAGGCUGUCAGCUCGGGAAAUGAAGCUGUGCGCAAUGCUGUGACCUGAGCCAUCGGCCUAACUAGAAAGGGGCCUCCGGAACCUCACAGACUUCGUUCUCCUUCCGACAUAUGGGUGAUGUGUGCCUUUGCAUUUUGCUGGAUGAAUAGUUAAUGCAGGUCAGGGAAUUCUGUACUUUCUAAGUAUUGAGGCUCAACAAAGGAAAGCCUGGGAAACAGUCAACCUAAGAUCUGGGGAAAAUGAUUAAUUGCAGUCCUAGUCCACCCAGUCUUUAGUUACCUUGAGAAAGGGGUGGAAAACCUGAAAAAUUAAGGGGAUUGCUGCUAACUCAGAAGCAAAUGCUGACUGGUCUCUGCAAUCUCUGGAUGUGUGUGAUGAUCUGAGCAAUGCAAAUGGAUCCAGAUUUUUGAUGGAAUUACCAAAGUGGGGACAACAAAGUGGGCCAUCCCCAGCAU
ensembl:lncRNA